AGCCUGAUCCAGCCAUGCCGCGUGUGUGAAGAAGGCUUUCGGGUUGUAAAGCACUUUCAGCGAGGAAGAAGGCCUGAUGAUUAAUACUUGUCAGGAAGGACAUCACUCGCAGAAGAAGCACCGGCUAACUCCGUGCCAGCAGCCGCGGUAAUACGGAGGGUGCAAGCGUUAAUCGGAAUUACUGGGCGUAAAGCGCGCGUAGGUGGCUUGAUAAGCCGGUUGUGAAAGCCCCGGGCUCAACCUGGGAACUGCAUCCGGAACUGUUAGGCUAGAGUGCAGGAGAGGAAGGUAGAAUUCCCGGUGUAGCGGUGAAAUGCGUAGAGAUCGGGAGGAAUACCAGUGGCGAAGGCGGCCUUCUGGACUGACACUGACACUGAGGUGCGAAAGCGUGGGUAGCAAACAGGAUUAGAUACCCUGGUAGUCCACGCCGUAAACGAUGUCGGCUAGCCGUUGGGAGCCUCGANNNNNNAGUGGCGC
rnacentral:rRNA from 1 species